GUGGGGAAUAUUGCGCAAUGGGGGAAACCCUGACGCAGCAACGCCGCGUGAGUGAUGAAGGCUUUCGAGUCGUAAAACUCUGUCUUUGGGGACGAAUAAUGACGGUACCCAAGGAGGAAGCCCCGGCUAACUACGUGCCAGCAGCCGCGGUAAUACGUAGGGGGCAAGCGUUGUCCGGAAUCACUGGGCGUAAAGGGCGCGUAGGCGGUUUGUUAAGUCAGGUGUGAAAGUUUUCAGCUUAACUGGAAAAGUGCACUUGAAACUAACUUACUUGAGUACUGGAGAGGUAAGCGGAAUUCCUAGUGUAGCGGUGAAAUGCGUAGAUAUUAGGAAGAACACCGGUGGCGAAGGCGGCUUACUGGACAGAGACUGACGCUGAGGCGCGAAAGCGUGGGGAGCGAACAGGAUUAGAAACCCCGGUAGUCC
rnacentral:rRNA from 1 species